rnacentral:rRNA from 1 species
AAUUAGAAUUUUAUCUUUAAGUGAAAAAGCUUAAAUAUAUUUAAAAGACGAGAAGACCCUAUAGAGUUUAAUAAAAUUAAAAUUUUUAAUAAUUAAAGAAUUUUAUCUAUUAUUUAUUUAAAUUUUAUUUGAUUGGGGUGAUUAAAAAAUUUAAAUAACUUUUUUUAAAAAUUUAACAUUAAUUUAUGAUUGUUUGAUCC